GGGGACUUUUAAUGCAUGUCAGUCCACCUCUGUCACCUCUGAAGAAAAAUGCCUCAAAAAAUACUUUCAAAAGGGCCAUUUGUAAACAUCUUCAAGAGAAAUCCCAAGAGCAAACACAUCUGAAAGCCUUCAGCAGGCUGCACUUCACCUCUCAGCUGAAAGAAGUUCAGAGCAGAGGAGGUCUCUGUUUGAAGUCCAACAAGUGGCAGUAAAAGAAGUGCUGAGUGUAGUUUGGAACAGGAAGCUAUGACUUGAUUUAAAGGGACAUACCCAAAGUAAUACAAAGUGUCUUUUUGCUCUUUUUGUGUGGAUUUUUACUUACUUUACUUAAUGUAGCUGUUGUUUUGUUCUCUACAGUGAUUAUUAAACACAAACACCUGAA